rnacentral:rRNA from 1 species
UACAGAGGGGGCAAGCGUUGUUCGGAAUUACUGGGCGUAAAGGGCGCGUAGGCGGCCCGCUAAGUCGAACGUGAAAUCCCCAGGCUUAACCUGGGAACUGCGUCCGAUACUGGCAGGCUUGAAUCCGGGAGAGGGAUGUGGAAUUCCAGGUGUAGCGGUGAAAUGCGUAGAUAUCUGGAGGAACACCGGUGGCGAAGGCGGCAUCCUGGACCGGCAUUGACGCUGAGGCGCGAAAGCCAGGGGAGCAAACGGG